AUUGAACGCUGGCGGCAGGCUUAACACAUGCAAGUCGAACGAGUGGCGGACGGGUGAGUAAUGCUUGGGAAUCUAGCUUAUGGAGGGGGAUAACUACGGGAAACUGUAGCUAAUACCGCGUACCAUAGGAUGAGCCCAAGUGGGAUUAGGUAGUUGGUGAGGUAAAGGCUCACAAAGCCGACGAGCUCUAGCUGGUCUGAGAGGGUGACCAGCCACACUGGGACUGAGACACGGCCCAGACUCCUACGGGAGGCAGCAGUGGGGAAUAUUGCGCAAUGGGGGCAACCCUGACGCAGCCAUGCCGCGUGUAUGAAGAAGGCCUUCGGGUUGUAAAGUACUUUCAGUCGGGAGGCGUUACCGACAGAAGAAGCACCGGCUAACUCCGUGCCAGCCGCCGCGGUAAUUC
rnacentral:rRNA from 1 species